rnacentral:rRNA from 1 species
AUUGAACGCUGGCGGCAGGCCUAACACAUGCAAGUCGAGCGGAUGAAGGGAGCUUGCUCCUGGAUUCAGCGGCGGACGGGUGAGUAAUGCCUAGGAAUCUGCCUGGUAGUGGGGGAUAACGUCCGGAAACGGGCGCUAAUACCGCAUACGUCCUGAGGGAGAAAGUGGGGGAGCUUCGGACCUCACGCUAUCAGAUGAGCCUAGGUCGGAUUAGCUAGUUGGUGGGGUAAAGGCCUACCAAGGCGACGAUCCGUAACUGGUCUGAGAGGAUGAUCAGCCACACUGGAACUGAGACACGGUCCAGACUCCUACGGGAGGCAGCAGUGGGGAAUAUUGGACAAUGGGCGAGAGCCUGAUCCAGCCAUGCCGCGUGUGUGAAGAAGGUCUUCGGAUUGUAAAGCACUUUUAGUUGGGAGGAAGGGCAGUAAGUUAAUACCGUGCUGUUUUGACGUUACCGGCAGAAUAAGCACCGGCUAACUUCGUG